rnacentral:rRNA from 1 species
GACAGAGGGUGCAAACGUUGUUCGGAAUUACUGGGCGUAAAGCGUGUGUAGGCGGUCUCUUAAGUCGGAUGUGAAAGCCCCGGGCUCAACCCGGGAAGUGCACUCGAAACUGGGAGGCUAGAGUACUGGAGAGGUUGGUGGAAUUCUCGGUGUAGAGGUGAAAUUCGUAGAUAUCGAGAGGAACACCGGUGGCGAAGGCGGCCAACUGGACAGAUACUGACGCUGAGACACGAAAGCGUGGGGAGCAAAUAGG